AUUGGCUAAAUUUGUGCCAGCAGCUGCGGUUAAACAAAAAAUACAAAUAAAUUUUAUUAAUAUAUAUAUAAGUUAAAUUGAAUUAAUUUAAUUAAUAAAAAAAUUUUAAGUGAAAUUUUAUUUUUUUAAAAAAUUAAUAUAAAAAAUUAUAUUGAGUCUAAAAAAUUUUAUUUUUAAACUAGGAUUAGAUACCCUAUUAUUUAAUUAUUUAAAGAAUAUAAAAAUUAGAGUAGUAAUAGUUAAGGUCUUGAAACUCAAAAAAUUUGGCGGUAUUUUAGUCUAUUCAGAGGAACUUGUUAUUUAAUCGAUAACCCACGAUGAAUCUUACUUAGUCUUGAAUUUAAAUUUGUAUAUCGCCGUUAUUUGAAAAUUUUAUAAGAAAAAUAAUUUUCUUAAAUUUUUAUUAAAAAAUAAAUCAGGUCAAGGUGCAGUUUAUGAUUAAGUUUUAUAUGAGUUACAAUAAAUUUAUUUAUACGGAUGAAAAAAUGAAAUAUUUUUAAGAAGGUGGAUUUGAAAGUAAAUUUUUAAAGAUAAAAAAAUUGAUUUUAGCUCUAAAAUAUGUACACAUCGCCCG
rnacentral:rRNA from 1 species